CUUUGGGAGCUUGCUCCCGAAGGUUAGCGGCGGACGGGUGAGUAACACGUGGGCAACCUGCCUAUAAGACUGGGAUAACUUCGGGAAACCGGAGCUAAUACCGGAUAAUUCUUUUCUACUCAUGUAGAAAAGCUAAAAGACGGUUUACGCUGUCACUUAUAGAUGGGCCCGCGGCGCAUUAGCUAGUUGGUGAGGUAACGGCUCACCAAGGCCACGAUGCGUAGCCGACCUGAGAGGGUGAUCGGCCACACUGGGACUGAGACACGGCCCAGACUCCUACGGGAGGCAGCAGUAGGGAAUCUUCCGCAAUGGACGAAAGUCUGACGGAGCAACGCUGCGUGAGUGAUGAAGGUUUUCGGA
rnacentral:rRNA from 1 species